ensembl:lncRNA
CUGCCUUUAAAAAUAAAAGGGCUGUGUAUAUAUUACAAUCCACAGAGGGUCUGGAAUCAGGACGUCCUAAGAUGAAUACAAACCAUAGACAAGAAGUGUUUUGUUGGAAGGCUUCACAAAUAUGGAGCUGAUUACUGCUAGGCAGCGCAGAUUUCCUUCUGUAAGAUGGGACUGAUAGAAUUCCUUCCUGACAGCUAGAAAUUAUAAUUGGGCUGGGUGUGGUUUUUUUUCUGUGUUUUAAACUUUACCAGCCUUCAAAAUGAAGAAGAAAGAUGGAAUCCUGACCCAUCUGCACUCAAUGGGAAUUCUGCCUGCGAGCCAGGAUUUCAGUCUAAUAUCCAUCCAGCUGCCCAGGACUGGAGGUGCUGCUAACAGCUUCAGAGCUGUGCUUUUGUCAAGCAUUUAACUCCGUGUGGAUUGAAACAUCUCCCACAGGGAAAAUCUUCAGCUUCAGCACACGUGACCCAUUUUCUCCACAUGGAGGUCAUUCUUCUGAUUUCAUCAUCCCUUUUGGAUGGCUGAAGAGAGAAAGGUAAGUAGAAAAAAGGUGAAUAGUUCUGUAAAUUCCAUUUGUACCGUACAGGCACUGCCUGCAUCUCUUCUAAAC